UUCCUUCGGGAAUGGGGACAGCGGCGAACGGGUGAGUAACACGUGGGUAAUCUGCCCUCGAUUCUGGGAUAGCCCGGGGAAACCCGGAUUAAUACCGGAUAGCCUCUCGAGCUUUCGAGCUCGUGAGAAAAGGUAGCUUCGGCCUCCGAUCGAGGAUGAGCCCGCGGCGGAUUAGCUUGUUGGUGGGGUAAUGGCCUACCAAGGCGACGAUCCGUAGCUGGUCUGAGAGGACGAUCAGCCACACUGGGACUGAGACACGGCCCAGACUCCUACGGGAGGCAGCAGUGGGGAAUCUUGCGCAAUGGGCGAAAGCCUGACGCAGCGACGCCGCGUGGGGGAAGAAGGCCUUCGGGUUGUAAACCUCUUUCAGCAGGGACGAAGCCACUCGGGUUAAUAGCCCAGAGGGUGACGGUACCUGCAGAAGAAGCCCCGGCUAACUACGUGCCAGCAGCCGCGGUAAUACGUAGGGGGCAAGCGUUGUCCGGAUUUAUUGGGCGUGAAGAGCGUGUAGGCGGCCAGACAGGUCCGUUGUGAAAACUAGAGGCUUAACCUCUAGACGUCGAUGGAAACCGUCUGGCUAGAGUCCGGAAGAGGAGAAUGGAAUUCCUGGUGUAGCGGUGAAAUGCGCAGAUAUCAGGAAGAACACCCGUGGCUAAGGCGGUUCUCUAGUACGGUACUGACGCUGAGACGCGAAAGCGUGGGGAGCGAACAGGAUUAGAUACCCUGGUAGUCCACGCCGUAAACGAUGGGUUGCUAGGUGUGGGGGG
rnacentral:rRNA from 1 species